GGAUGUGAGGGCGAUCUGGCUGCGACAUCUGUCACCCCAUUGAUCGCCAGGGUUGAUUUGGCUGAUCUGGCUGGCUAGGCGGGUGUCCCCCUCCUCCCUCACCGAUCCUUGUGCGUCCCUCCCGAAGCUGCAUGCUCGGUCGAAGAGGACGACCUUCCCCCCCGAAGAGAGGACCGGUCUUAGGUCAAGGGUAUACGAGUAGCUGCGCUCCCCUGCUAGAACCUCCAAACAAGCUCUCAAAGAUAUGAAAAAGGACUAAUUAGAAAUUAAGCAUACACUGACUGAAUAAAGAAUAAUAU
rnacentral:snRNA from 1 species